GCACAUGCUGUGAGCUCGAUGAGUAGGGCGGGACACGUGGUAUCCUGUCUGAAUAUGGGGGGACCAUCCUCCAAGGCUAAAUACUCCUGACUGACCGAUAGUGAACCAGUACCGUGAGGGAAAGGCGAAAAGAACCCCGGCGAGGGGAGUGAAAAAGAACCUGAAACCGUGUACGUACAAGCAGUGGGAGCCUCUUUUAUGGGGUGACUGCGUACCUUUUGUAUAAUGGGUCAGCGACUUAUAUUCUGUAGCAAGGUUAACCGAAUAGGGGAGCCGAAGGGAAACCGAGUCUUAACUGGGCGUUAAGUUGCAGGGUAUAGACCCGAAACCCGGUGAUCUAGCCAUGGGCAGGUUGAAGGUUGGGUAACACUAACUGGAGGACCGAACCGACUAAUGUUGAAAAAUUAGCGGAUGACUUGUGGCUGGGGGUGAAAGGCCAAUCAAACCGGGAGAUAGCUGGUUCUCCCCGAAAGCUAUUUAGGUAGCGCCUCGUGAAUUCAUCUCCGGGGGUAGAGCACUGUUUCGGCAAGGGGGUCAUCCCGACUUACCAACCCGAUGCAAACUGCGAAUACCGGAGAAUGUUAUCACGGGAGACACACGGCGGGUGCUAACGUCCGUCGUGAAGAGGGAAACAACCCAGACCGCCAGCUAAGGUCCCAAAGUCAUGGUUAAGUGGGAAACGAUGUGGGAAGGCCCAGACAGCCAGGAUGUUGGCUUAGAAGCAGCCAUCAUUUAAAGAAAGCGUAAUAGCUCACUGGUCGAGUCGGCCUGCGCGGAAGAUGUAACGGGGCUAAACCAUGCACCGAAGCUGCGGCAGCGACGCUUAUGCGUUGUUGGGUAGGGGAGCGUUCUGUAAGCCUGUGAAGGUGUACUGUGAGGUAUGCUGGAGGUAUCAGAAGUGCGAAUGCUGACAUAAGUAACGAUAAAGCGGGUGAAAAGCCCGCUCGCCGGAAGACCAAGGGUUCCUGUCCAACGUUAAUCGGGGCAGGGUGAGUCGACCCCUAAGGCGAGGCCGAAAGGCGUAGUCGAUGGGAAACAGGUUAAUAUUCCUGUACUUGGUGUUACUGCGAAGGGGGGACGGAGAAGGCUAUGUUGGCCGGGCGACGGUUGUCCCGGUUUAAGCGUGUAGGCUGGUUUUCCAGGCAAAUCCGGAAAAUCAAGGCUGAGGCGUGAUGACGAGGCACUACGGUGCUGAAGCAACAAAUGCCCUGCUUCCAGGAAAAGCCUCUAAGCAUCAGGUAACAUCAAAUCGUACCCCAAACCGACACAGGUGGUCAGGUAGAGAAUACCAAGGCGCUUGAGAGAACUCGGGUGAAGGAACUAGGCAAAAUGGUGCCGUAACUUCGGGAGAAGGCACGCUGAUAUGUAGGUGAAGUCCCUCGCGGAUGGAGCUGAAAUCAGUCGAAGAUACCAGCUGGCUGCAACUGUUUAUUAAAAACACAGCACUGUGCAAACACGAAAGUGGACGUAUACGGUGUGACGCCUGCCCGGUGCCGGAAGGUUAAUUGAUGGGGUUAGCGCAAGCGAAGCUCUUGAUCGAAGCCCCGGUAAACGGCGGCCGUAACUAUAACGGUCCUAAGGUAGCGAAAUUCCUUGUCGGGUAAGUUCCGACCUGCACGAAUGGCGUAAUGAUGGCCAGGCUGUCUCCACCCGAGACUCAGUGAAAUUGAACUCGCUGUGAAGAUGCAGUGUACCCGCGGCAAGACGGAAAGACCCCGUGAACCUUUACUAUAGCUUGACACUGAACAUUGAGCCUUGAUGUGUAGGAUAGGUGGGAGGCUUUGAAGUGUGGACGCCAGUCUGCAUGGAGCCGACCUUGAAAUACCACCCUUUAAUGUUUGAUGUUCUAACGUGGACCCGUAAUCCGGGUUGCGGACAGUGUCUGGUGGGUAGUUUGACUGGGGCGGUCUCCUCCUAAAGAGUAACGGAGGAGCACGAAGGUUGGCUAAUCCUGGUCGGACAUCAGGAGGUUAGUGCAAUGGCAUAAGCCAGCUUGACUGCGAGCGUGACGGCGCGAGCAGGUGCGAAAGCAGGUCAUAGUGAUCCGGUGGUUCUGAAUGGAAGGGCCAUCGCUCAACGGAUAAAAGGUACUCCGGGGAUAACAGGCUGAUACCGCCCAAGAGUUCAUAUCGACGGCGGUGUUUGGCACCUCGAUGUCGGCUCAUCACAUCCUGGGGCUGAAGUAGGUCCCAAGGGUAUGGCUGUUCGCCAUUUAAAGUGGUACGCGAGCUGGGUUUAGAACGUCGUGAGACAGUUCGGUCCCUAUCUGCCGUGGGCGCUGGAGAACUGAGGGGGGCUGCUCCUAGUACGAGAGGACCGGAGUGGACGCAUCACUGGUGUUCGGGUUGUCAUGCCAAUGGCACUGCCCGGUAGCUAAAUGCGGAAGAGAUAAGUGCUGAAAGCAUCUAAGCACGAAACUUGCCCCGAGAUGAGUUCUCCCUGACUCCUUGAGAGUCCUGAAGGAACGUUGAAGACGACGACGUUGAUAGGCCGGAUGUGUAAGCGCAGCGAUGCGUUGAGCUAACCGGUACUAAUGAACCGUGAGGCUUAACCUU
rnacentral:rRNA from 1 species